rnacentral:rRNA from 1 species
CCCUUAGAUGUUCUGGGCCGCACGCGUGCUACACUGAGUGGAUCAGCGGGUCAGGUUGCGCGAAAGCGUUUCCUAAUCUUUAAAUCCGCUCGUGAUGGGGAUUGACGGUUGCAAUUUUCUGUCAUGAACGAGGAAUACCUUGUAAGCGCGGGUCAUCAUCCCGCGCUGAUUACGUCCCUGCCCUUUGUACACACCGCCCGUCGCUCCUACCGAUUGAGUGGUCCGGUGAGGCUUUGGGAUCUGAGCGGAAAGAGCGUUUCGCUGUUUCUGCUCGGAAAACUCAGUCGAACCUUAUCAUUUAGAGGAAGGAGAAGUCGUAACA